rnacentral:rRNA from 1 species
UACGGGGGGAGCAAGCGUUGUUCGGAUUUACUGGGCGUAAAGGGCGCGUAGGCGGCCUGCUAAGUCGAACGUGAAAUCCCCGGGCUCAACCCGGGAACUGCGUCCGAUACUGGCAGGCUUGAAUUCGGGAGAGGGAUGCGGAAUUCCAGGUGUAGCGGUGAAAUGCGUAGAUAUCUGGAGGAACACCGGUGGCGAAGGCGGCAUCCUGGACCGAAAUUGACGCUGAGGCGCGAAAGCCAGGGGAGCAAACGGGG